CAGUAGCCGCGGUAAUGCGAAGGGGGCUAGCGUUGUUCGGAUUUACUGGGCGUAAAGCGCACGUAGGCGGAUCGAUCAGUCAGGGGUGAAAUCCCAGAGCUCAACUCUGGAACUGCCUAUGAUACCGUCGAUCUGGAGUAUGGAAGAGGUGAGUGGAAUUCCGAGUGUAGAGGUGAAACUCGUAGAUAUUCGGAGGAACACCAGUGGCGAAGGCGGCUCACUGGUCCAUUACUGACGCUGAGGUGCGAAAGCGUGGGGAGCAAACAGGAUUAGAUACCCCCGUAGUCCCUGUCUCUUAUAC
rnacentral:rRNA from 1 species